rnacentral:rRNA from 1 species
UAGAGUUUGAUCCUGGCUCAGAACGAACGCUGGCGGCAUGCCUAACACAUGCAAGUCGAACGAAGGCUUCGGCCUUAGUGGCGCACGGGUGCGUAACGCGUGGGAAUCUGCCCUUAGGUUCGGAAUAACAGCUGGAAACGGCUGCUAAUACCGGAUGAUAUCGCGAGAUCAAAGAUUUAUCGCCUGAGGAUGAGCCCGCGUUGGAUUAGGUAGUUGGUGGGGUAAAGGCCUACCAAGCCGACGAUCCAUAGCUGGUCUGAGAGGAUGAUCAGCCACACUGGGACUGAGACACGGCCCAGACUCCUACGGGAGGCAGCAGAAGGG